GAUCCACCAGCUCAAUCUCCUGGAUGUGGUCUUCGAGCUGCUGCUGUUCAGAGACCAACAGUUGGCAUAUGUGUGGCUGGUCCCUCAGGCACAGGGCGGGUUCCUGGAUCAUCUGGCAACAGUGGUCCAGUCCUUCCUGCCCUCUGAGGCGUGGCCAGCCCAGGCAGCCCAGUGCUGGGAGCUCCUGCAGUCUGAGGCAAUCUCCUUCGUGCUGGAGAUCCUGUCCCUGGACGUGUCAGCGUACCACCAGCCCCAGCACCUGGCCCAGAGGGUCUUCAGCAGCCUGGAGCGCCGCAUCGACCAGCUGCUGAGCGUGAUGCCCUCUGGCUAAUAUCCCUUUCCCUCUUUAGUUUCGGUUUUGAAGGGUUUAGUAACUUAGGCUUAGUGGGGUUUAGAUUUUAAUGAGCAAAACGUAGUACUUACUACUGUAUGGGUUUAGUUUCCUAAUGCGUAGAAGGGUUUCAGUCUAGUGUUUAGUAUAAAUGGGUCAACCGAUUGCGUACUAAGGUAGGGUUUAGGUGUCAGAAUGAGGGUUUUGGUUUUAGGUUUUGGUUCUUUGAUUAAUAUGGGCAUUUAGUUUUUAGUGUUUUAGAGAGUUAGGGCAUUUGUUUUUCUAUGGUAUAGUGUGGGUGUCAACUAGUUUUUAGUUUCCAGCUUUACCAAGGUUUAGUACUUAGUUUGGUUAAUUAUGACUGGAAAGUAGGAUUUCAUUUUAGUAUAAUGGACGGUUAUUUUGAACGGUUAGUUUUCUCGUGUUUAGUGGGUUAGUGGAUGGAUUAGCUGUAUUUUUGAUUGAGGGUUAAUGUUUACAGUAGAAGGGUUUGAUUAUGUUUAAUCCAUAAGGGUUUAUGCUUUUUUUUUUAGGUCUUAUUGAGUAUAAUUGAGUAAUUGAGGGUUUAUUUGCUGUGGAUUAAUGUGGAUAUCUUAUAGCAAUUUUAGAGUCUAGUUUUUUUAGUGUAUGGUUUUUGCACAUAUCCGGGUUUCCUUGUAGUGCACAGUUUGGGUUCAGUUCAUUUGUUGUUACUAGUUGUGAUUUCUUAUGUUAAAGGACAAGUGAACUAUUUUGAACAUUAAGCCCCUUUUAGUACUUCUCUGCAAUGUUCUAUAGCGCCCUGUCAUUUUUUUUUUUUUAAACGUUUGCUGCCAUUAUUUGGCUAUUCUGAAUUUUGUGUCAAUUGGCUUUACAACGACCAUCUCCAAAUAUGUUCUUAAAAACCACCCUAAACAUUUGUUUUCAAAGUAUGCAUCUCACUAGGUGGUUGGGUGUUCACUGGCAUUUCCUAACAAGUUUGAAGGGGAAAUACGGCUUCUGUUAUUUCCCAUUUUGUGAAUGAAAGAAAAUAAUGUAUUUACUAAAUGCUACAUAAAAUGUCACAAUGUUUGACCUGUUUCACCACGUAACUUGUUAUGGAAAAUCAGUAAAUACCCCUGAACACUUAAUGAGUUGCAUAUUCUUGGAAAAAAAUAUGUUGGUGUGGUUUUAAGAGCAGAUUUUGACAUUUCCAUAGAUGGCCAUUCUAAAUCUGGUUGAGACAAAAUCCAAAUUAGCCAAAUAACAGAGACGGCAGCAAACAUGAAAUAAACGAUAAGGGGGACUCUAAAGCAUUGCGGACAACUCAAAAAGGGGGGUUCAUGUUCAAAGUAGUGCACUUGUCCUUUAAGUAAAGACUGGGUUGCUUACAAUGUUUAGUAAAGUUUGAUUCAUAAUUUUUCCAGCAUUGUUAAUGGGGGCUUGUAUUUAGGGUGAGGGUGGUUUCAAUUAGUAGUGCAGUGCAUAAGAAGCACAAUGUUUCUCUGCAGUUAUGUAGGUGCUACGUAUGAAAAGCCAAAAACCUUUCAGCAACCCAACUCUGAAAUGAAAUUCUGUGGGGAUUGGUGAAUGGUUCUCAUUGGCUAAUGCCCCAUUUUACUCAGAUGUAUUCUCCCCAAGCUCUGCACCCCUCCCUCUCGAUCUGUCUUUUUCUGCAGGUGUUCCCUGUUGGUAAUGCAGGACUAGAGACCAGGACCAAGUCAGGAUGUGGACCCUGAUGACGAGAACCAUGAAAGCUGAAGAUGACCACCGAUGACCAGCAUAGAGGAUCCACUCACUGAACGUGAACCUAGAAGACCAGCCUACCAGGAUCCACAUACUGAAGACGACUAUAGAAGACCAGUCUAGAGAGAUUUUUUUUUUAAAUGAUCUGGACAUAUAUGAUGACAUCAGACUGUCAGCAAGACAGAUGACAAAACCAACAUGGAAUACAGGAAAACCCAAUGAAAAUAGACAAUUUUUCAACAUUGGACAUUUUUUAUGAUCACAUCAUACUUUUUUCUGCCCUCGUAAAUACGAUUUUUGACUUUGAAAAGCACUUGUAUUGUAGUCAUCUCUUCCUUAUAAUGCACUUUUGUUUUGAAGUUGAUUUGUAUCAAAUCAUGGUGUUAAUCCCAAGAAUGAGUGCACAAUCUGUGCAUAAAAUCUUUUGUGUACCUUUUUUUGGUAAAUAAUUCUUGUAUAGGCCAACUGUUUCUUUUCUUGUGAAAUAUGCGUAACACAUGAUUCUUUUAUAGUUAUUCUCUUGUUUUAAAUCGUAUCCAGUGGAAUUAAUUACCAAAGCAAGUUCAUUACCAAAUCUACUAUACAUAUGUACAGUAUGUACUGUAUUUGGAAAUGAACUUGCUUCCUACUGGAUUUACCGUAAAUUACCCAGAAGAUGUCAUACACAGAAAGUCAUAAAAUGUAAUUGUACGAGUAUGUGAAGUUUCAUUGUAAAAUCUAAUAAAUAGCAAAUACUA